AUGGCUGUCGUCAGCUCGUGUCGUGAGAUGUUGGGUUAAGUCCCGCAACGAGCGUAACCCUUGUUCCAUGUUGCCAGCACUUCGGGUGGGGACUCAUGGGAGACUGCCGGGGUCAACUCGGAGGAAGGUGGGGAUGACGUCAAGUCAUCAUGCCCCUUAUGUCUUGGGCUGCAAACAUGCUACAAUGGCUGGUACAGCGGGGUGCGAUGCCGUGAGGUGGAGCGAAUCCCUGUAAAGCUGGUCUCAGUUCGGAUUGGGGUCUGCAACUCGACCCCAUGAAGGUGGAGUCGCUAGUAAUCGCGGAUCAGCAGUGCCGCGGUGAAUACGUUCCCGGGCCUUGUACACACCGCCCGU
rnacentral:rRNA from 1 species